rnacentral:rRNA from 1 species
UGUUCCUACGGGGGGCAGCAGUAGGGAAUCUUCCACAAUGGACGAAAGUCUGAUGGAGCAACGCCGCGUGAGUGAAGAAGGGUUUCGGCUCGUAAAGCUCUGUUGGUAGUGAAGAAAGAUAGAGGUAGUAACUGGCCUUUAUUUGACGGUAAUUAUUUAGAAAGUCACGGCUAACUACGUGCCAGCAGCCGCGGUAAUACGUAGGUGGAAAGCGUUGUACGGAAUUAUUGGGCGUAAAGCGA